rnacentral:rRNA from 1 species
GUUGUGCUAAUACCGCAUAACAUUGUUUUUUAUCGCAUGAAUAAAAACNUCAAAGAUUUAUCGCUUAUGGAUUCGCGUCUGAUUAGAUAGUUGGUGAGGUAACGGCUCACCAAGUCGACGAUCAGUAGCCGGCCUGAGAGGGUGAACGGCCACAGUUGGGACUGAGACACGGACCCAAACUCCUACGGGGAGGCAGCAGGUGGGGAAUAUUGCACAAUGGGGGAAACCCUGAUGCAGCGACGCCGCGUGAGUGAAGAAGUAUUUCGGUAUGUAAAGCUCUAUCAGCAGGGAAGAAAAUGACGGUACCUGACUAAGAAGCCCCGGCUAACUACGUG